GUUGAGAGCACUUUAUACUUCACUCCUUGCACUUAAUGAGAUUUUACUGCCAACAUAUUCGUUUUCAGGUUUACCUAAAACUUUAUUUUGAAUGCUAGUUACAAAGACCUUUUGUUGAAAUACAGAGGUGGAUAUAACUCAGCAACUGGGUCAGUAACUGGGUAAAAUUCAACACUACUAUCUGCUCUGUUAUAAGAUAAACUUAACUAAAUUGGUAUCUCUUACACCAUUAGACCACAUUUUUCUGAAGAUAGCUUCAAAGGAAAAAUAUUUUAUGAUCUCAGAUCUUCCCAGUAAUGAUCACGAAAGUUCCUUAAUUCAAAAACAUUAGUAGCUUUUAUUUUCUAAAUAAGAUCUUAAUUGUACCUUGAAUCCAGAAAAUUGAACUUAAUAUGAAAGUAAGUACAUUCAACCAGAAGUGUACCUUAUAAUCAUCUGAGGAGUGUUUUCCAAAAUUCACAAGCUUGAGCCCUGAUCUUCACCUGUUAACUGAAGCUCCUAGAUAAUUUUCAGGUGUUCCUCUCUAAGAACCACUGGCUUAAGCUGAAGAAGUAGUAGGGAUAAUACUAAAUAUAAAUUGUCUGAAGAUUUAAUAGCAGCAAAAACAGACUUGAAAACUACUCCUAAGAAAAAAUACGGUGUGGUUGUGGUGAUUCUAGACAUUUACAACUGCUUU
rnacentral:lncRNA from 1 species